GCCCCAUGGAAACCAUCACUUCCAGAUGUACUCUCUGCCAUGAGCCUCCGAGUGCCUGCACGUCCUGUUCCUGUGUGUUGAACUGUGGGUCCCACCUCACCUCUGACUCACCCUUUAUGGUUCAGCUCACCUGACAGCCUUCCCUUCCCUCUCUUUUGUUCAUUCAUCCAUUCAUUCGUGCAACAAGCAAUUAUUAGGCACCUGCUCUAUGCCAGGCUCUAUUCCAGGCACUAGGGACACAGCAGCAAACAAAACAGACUAAAUCCCUCAUGGUGUGCAGGAGCAAAUAAUUGAGCACUUAGUCAACCUGAUGCACCCCAGCCCCUGCCUGCUGGCCUUCUCCACAUUUCCACUGUGCUUUGUAGGCACUUCCGUUUCAACACUAAUCCAUCUGGACUUCCACAAGUCAACAGUGGGUCUCCCUGACGAGGCUGGGACUUCAUGAGGGUAAGGGCCAGGCCUGCCUCUCCUGGGCAUCAGAGCAAGGAUGGUGCGUCCUCCGUGUGCACCUCCACAUUCGACAGAGCCCUCUCACAGCCCUGGUCUCGUCUGCUUGCUCACCCGCUCUGUUCAGCAAGCGGGGAUUGUGGAGAGGAGAUGUGAAGGCAGGAGGCCCACCGCCCAGGCGUGUGCUCUUGGCAAAUGUCUGCAGAUCCAGCACAUCCUGCACAGCAGAGAUGAAUUUCCUCCAGCGUGGUGGUUUGCGUUCCUAUUGCUGCACGGCAAGCUAGCCCAGAACAGCAGCUUUAAACCAUGACAGUCACAGAUUCUGCUCAGGAUCCAGAGCUUGACUGGACUCAGCCAUGCGGUUCUUCCUUGAGGAGGCACACAGCCUCAUCCAGAUGGUGGCUGGGCUGGGGUCAUCUUGAAGGCUUCUUCACUCACAGGUCUGGGGCCCAGGCUGAAAAGACUCAGCCAGCAGGGCUCACUGAGCUUCUCUCACUUUGCAUGUGGCCACUCCAUGAGAUCUUUCUACAAGGCAGUUUCAGAGAGUGGAACCUCCCACAUGGUGGAUGAAGGUGACCAGAUCUGUAAGACACAUUCACAUUCUCCAUUUUAUGUCAUCGUGACCCUUUUCCUGACAGUCACCCUGAUUUUCUGCAUUUACAAAGCUCCCACUCCUUCCUGCUCUGAAUUGCACUGCAAAAGUACUGCUUCCAUUAACCUGACAACUGCAAUGAAGAGCAUCCUGUCCAAAUCAUGUCACCUUAAUUCCUGGGUGUCUUCCUAGAUGGAAGAGCUGGUGGGGAGACAUCUCAGUUUCAAGACACACACACAGACACAGACACACACAUACACAGACACACAGACACAGAAACACACAGACACAUAGACACACAUGCACAGACAUACAAACACAUGGACACACAGACACCCCAGCACACACAGAAACACACACACAGAUAUAGAAACACAGACACAUAGAGAGACAGACACACAGACACAGAAAACACAGACACACACAUAUAUACACAGACACACACACAAGGACACACAGACACACACAUAGAGACACACACAUAGACACGCAUAGAGACAUACACAGGGAGCCCUGCUGACACACACAGACACACAGACACACACACACAGAUACAAACACAGACACACAGAGAGAGACACACACACAGACACAC
rnacentral:lncRNA from 1 species